UACGGAAGGCAGCAGUGGGGAAUAUUGCACAAUGGGCGCAAGCCUGAUGCAGCCAUGCCGCGUGUAUGAAAAAGGCCUUCGGGUUGUAAAGUACUUUCAGUCGUGAGGAAGGUGUUAAGGUUAAUAACCUUAGCAAUUGACGUUAGCGACAGAAGAAGCACCGGCUAACUCCGUGCCAGCAGCCGCGGUAAUACGGAGGGUGCGAGCGUUAAUCGGAAUUACUGGGCGUAAAGGGCACGCAGGCGGUUAAUUAAGUUGGAUGUGAAAUCCCCGGGCUUAACCUGGGAAUGGCAUUCAAGACUGGUUAGCUAGAGUCUUGUAGAGGGGGUAGAAUUCCAUGUGUAGCGGUGAAAUGCGUAGAGAUGUGGAGGAAUACCGGUGGCGAAGGCGGCCCCUGGACAAAGACUGACGCUCAUGUGCGAAAGCGUGGGGAGCAAACGAGGAUUAGAUACCCG
rnacentral:rRNA from 1 species